AUGAGUUCAGACGAGUGGGAGGGAUUCUUUUGAAUUUCGACUGACCGAAAUCGGCUCUAUUUAUUCCGGGACUUGUUUAUAUAUGCCUGGUUAGACCUUGGUGUCUAGGCCCCAAAACCAGUCUCAGAUUUUUUUGAUCUUCCAUACCUGGCUGGUUGUAAGUGGCCAAAAGUUGAAAAAUGGGGUUUCGU